AUUCUUCUUGGCAGAACAAUGCAAUAGAAUUAGAAUCUAUUCACCCUAA
rnacentral:tRNA from 1 species